rnacentral:rRNA from 1 species
AGAGUUUGAUCCUGGCUCAGGAUGAACGCUAGCGGCAGGCCUAACACAUGCAAGUCGUGGGGUAACAGGGUAGCAAUAUCGCUGACGACCGGCGCACGGGUGAGUAAUGCAUAUGCAACCUUCCUUUGACUGGGGGAUAGCUUCCGGAAACGGAAAUUAAUACCGCAUAAAAUUCCGACAGGGCAUCCUGAUGGAAUUAAAGCUCCGGCGGUCAGAGAUGGGCAUAUGUGCCAUUAGCUAGUUGGUGAGGUAAUAGCUCACCAAGGCUACGAUGGCUAGGGGGUCUGAGAGGAUGAUCCCCCACACUGGUACUGAGACACGGACCAGACUCCUACGGGAGGCAGCAGUGAGGAAUAUUGGGCAAUGGGCGCAAGCCUGACCCAGCCAUGCCGCGUGAAGGAUGAAUGCCCUAUGGGUUGUAAACUUCUUUUGUACGGGACGAAACUCCUGGUCGUGACCGGGAUUGACAGUACCGUGCGAAUAAGCAUCGGCUAACUCCGUGCCAGCAGCCGCGGUAAUACGGAGGAUGCAAGCGUUAUCCGGAUUUAUUGGGUUUAAAGGGUGCGUAGGCGGGACAAUAAGUCAGUGGUGAAAGCCUGCGGCUUAACCGUAGAAUUGCCAUUGAUACUGUUGUUCUUGAGUACAGUUGAGGUGGGCGGAAUGUGUAAUGUAGCGGUGAAAUGCUUAGAUAUUACACAGAACACCGAUUGCGAAGGCAGCUCACUAAGCUGUUACUGACGCUGAGGCACGAAAGCGUGGGGAGCAAACAGGAUUAGAUACCCUGGUAGUCCACGCCGUAAACGAUGAUCACUAGUUGUUGGCGAUAUACUGUCAGCGACUGAGCGAAAGCAUUAAGUGAUCCACCUGGGGAGUACGGCGGCAACGCUGAAACUCAAAGGAAUUGACGG